CGGUUGGGAGGGCUGCUUCGGCGGUCCGUUGGGUUCGCCCACCCGGCUG
ncrna:unclassified sequences DTF3800-VI RNA